UACAGAGGGUGCAAGCGUUAAUCGGAAUUACUGGGCGUAAAGCGUGCGUAGACGGUUAUGUAAGUCAGGUGUGAAAGCCCCGGGCUCAACCUGGGAAUGGCAUUUGAGACUGCAUAGCUAGGGUGCGGAAGAGGGAAGCGGAAUUUCCGGUGUAGCGGUGAAAUGCGUAGAUAUCGGGAAGGAACAUCAGUGGCGAAAGCGGCUUCCUGGUCCAGCACCGACGUCAGGCACGAAAGCGUGGGGAGCAACAGG
rnacentral:rRNA from 1 species